GCAGGUGUAGUGUAGUCUGGUCAGCACGAGAGCCUUCCAAGCUUUCAACCCGGGUCCAAAUCCCGGCACCUGCA
rnacentral:tRNA from 1 species